UAGUAAUUUAAUAAUUAAUUAAGAAAUGAUUUAAUAUUUUAUCGUAUUUUGUUAUUUGAAAGAUCUGUCAUGUUGAAGUAGAAGGCUUGCUGUGACGUCUCACUUAGAUCCAAGGUCACGCUAACAAAUAUACAGGUUCUGGCUAUCCUUGUAGUUUAAAGUCGUACUCUACCUAAACAUUGAAAAUUGAGAACACUAAAAGAAAAUAAUAUUUUUUUCCAAUUUUAUGAUAAGCAAAAUUGAUAAAUUAUGUUUAAAAUCAACUGAUAAGUUAUCGUAUUGAUAAUCAUACGUAUAUAAAUUGAAUUGAUAAACUAAUUUAUAUACAGUUAACGGACAGAUUUAUUAAGUUUACAAGAAAAUAUAUGCAUUAUUGAAUAUAAUUAUCAUCUCAUAAAAAUUCAGGUAAAAAUGAAUGAAAACCAGAAAGAUUCGUUACAAGAAGAAAUGUCUUCUAAUAAAGAUGAACAAAUCAGAGAAAGUACAGGUGAAAAACCAAGCGAGGGUGAAAAUCGCCAAGGAAUAGUAACCGAAGUAAAAGUUCUCGCAGAUACACUUACAUCCCAAAUGGCUGGGGCAGAAAUGCUUGAAAAAGUCGGAAAAUCCGAAAAAUCAAUACUAAGAGCAGCUCCGAGUAGAAAAAA